UACGUAGGGUGCAGGCGUUAAUCGGAAUUACUGGGCGUAAAGCGUGCGCAGGCGGUUUGCUAAGACAGGUGUGAAAUCCCCGGGCUUAACCUGGGAACUGCGCUUGUAACUGGCAAGCUUGAGUGUGGCAGAGGGGGGUGGAAUUCCACGUGUAGCAGUGAAAUGCGCAGAUAUCGGGAGGAACACCAAUGGCGAAAGCAGGUAACUGGACUAUUACUGACACUCAACUGCGAAAGCUAGGGGAGCAAACAGG
rnacentral:rRNA from 1 species